CGGGAGGCAGCAGUGGGGAAUAUUGGGCAAUGGGCGAAAGCCUGACCCAGCGACGCCGCGUGAAGGAAGAAGGUCUUCGGAUUGUAAACUUUUGUCAGCAGGGAAGAAGAAAGUGACGGUACCUGCUAAGAAAGCCACGGCUAACUACGUGCCAGCAGCCGCGGUAAUACGUAGGUGGCGAGCGUUAUCCGGAUUUACUGGGUGUAAAGGGUGUGUAGGCGGACUGACAAGUCAGGUGUGAAAUCCAUCGGCUUAACCGAUGGACUGCACUUGAAACUGCCAGCCUUGAGGGACGGAGAGGUAAGUGGAAUUCCCAGUGUAGCGGUGAAAUGCGUAGAUAUUAGGAGGAACACCAGUGGCGAAGGCGGCUUACUGGACUGUAACUGACACUGAGGCACGAAAGCGUGGGGAGCAAACAGGAUUAGAUACCCUGGUA
rnacentral:rRNA from 1 species